rnacentral:rRNA from 1 species
UACGUAGAGAGCAAGCGUUGUCCGGAAUCAUUGGGCGUAAAGGUACGCAGGCGGUCUAUUAAGUCAGAGGUGAAUCCAACAGCUCAACUGUUGAACUGCCUUUGAUACUGGUAGACUUGAGGAUAAGAGAAGAACGGAAUUCCUAGUGUAGCGGUGAAAUGCGUAGAUAUUAGGAAGAUACCGAUGGCGAAAGCAGUUUUCUAACUAUUCCUGACGCUCAGGUACGAAAGCUAGGGUAGCAAACGGG